AAAGCCAUUGCAUCUGAUAUGGACAUAGAGCCAGAAUUUCCUUCAAAACGUCAACGGAAAAGAAAGAGGCAUCAUGAUGAAAUCAAUGAUCAAGAAGAAGAAAUACAAUUGUCAGCUAUGGAAUCCUUCAGAGUUAAUUACUUUCUAGUCAUCGUUGACAAUGCAAUUCUUUCAUUGACCAGUCGCUUUGAUCAGUUGAAGAAAUUUGAAAGGGUGUUUGGUUUCUUAUUCAAUUCAAAAAAUCUGAAGUCCUUGGAUGAUAGCAAACUACAGGAAUGUUGCACUACUUUUGCAAAAGCUUUUUCUGAUGAUAAAUCAUCUGAUGUUGAUCUUCAUGAUUUUGUCUCAGAGUUAAAUUUGUUGUAG
rnacentral:rRNA from 1 species